AUUGAACGCUGGCGGCAGGCCUAACACAUGCAAGUCGAGCGGAUGACGGGAGCUUGCUCCUUGAUUCAGCGGCGGACGGGUGAGUAAUGCCUAGGAAUCUGCCUGGUAGUGGGGGACAACGUUUCGAAAGGAACGCUAAUACCGCAUACGUCCUACGGGAGAAAGCAGGGGACCUUCGGGCCUUGCGCUAUCAGAUGAGCCUAGGUCGGAUUAGCUAGUUGGCGGGGUAAUGGCUCACCAAGGCGACGAUCCGUAACUGGUCUGAGAGGAUGAUCAGUCACACUGGAACUGAGACACGGUCCAGACUCCUACGGGAGGCAGCAGUGGGGAAUAUUGGACAAUGGGCGAAAGCCUGAUCCAGCCAUGCCGCGUGUGUGAAGAAGGUCUUCGGAUUGUAAAGCACUUUAAGUUGGGAGGAAGGGCAGUAAGUUAAUACCUUGCUGUUUUGACGUUACCGACAGAAUAAGCACCGGCUAACUCUGUGCCAGCCGCCGCUGUAAAAC
rnacentral:rRNA from 1 species